rnacentral:rRNA from 1 species
AUUGAACGCUGGCGGCAGGCCUAACACAUGCAAGUCGAGCGGAGCGGCGGACGGGUGAGUAAUGCCUAGGAAUCUGCCUGGUAGUGGGGGAUAACGUCCGGAAACGGGCGCUAAUACCGCAUACUAUCAGAUGAGCCUAGGUCGGAUUAGCUAGUUGGUGGGGUAAAGGCCUACCAAGGCGACGAUCCGUAACUGGUCUGAGAGGAUGAUCAGUCACACUGGAACUGAGACACGGUCCAGACUCCUACGGGAGGCAGCAGUGGGGAAUAUUGGACAAUGGGCGAAAGCCUGAUCCAGCCAUGCCGCGUGUGUGAAGACGGUCUUCGGAUUGUAAACUUCUUUAGACAGGGACGCGGUACCUGUAGAAUAAGCCACGGCUAACUACGUGCCAGCAGCCGCGGUAAUAC